UACGUAGGGUGCGAGCGUUGUCCGGAAUUAUUGGGCGUAAAGAGCUCGUAGGCGGUGUGUCGCGUCGGCCGUGAAAACCUGCAGCUUAACUGUGGGCUUGCGGUCGAUACGGGCAUCACUGGAGUUCGGCAGGGGAGACUGGAAUCCUGGUGUAGCGGUGAAAUGCGCAGAUAUCAGGAGGAACACCGGUGGCGAAGGCGGCGUUCUGGACUGCAACUGACACUGAGGAACGAAAGCCAGGGGAGCAAACGGG
rnacentral:rRNA from 1 species